GAUGAACGCUGGCGGCGUGCCUAAUACAUGCAAGUCGAGCGAACAGAUGAGGAGCUUGCUCCUCUGACGUUAGCGGCGGACGGGUGAGUAACACGUGGAUAACCUACCUAUAAGACUGGGAUAACUUCGGGAAACCGGAGCUAAUACCGGAUAAUAUAUUGAACCGCAUGGUUCAAUAGUGAAAGACGGUUUUGCUGUCACUUAUAGAUGGAUCCGCGCCGCAUUAGCUAGUUGGUAAGGUAACGGCUUACCAAGGCAACGAUGCGUAGCCGACCUGAGAGGGGGAUCGGCAACACUGGAACUGAGACACGGUCCAGACUCCUACGGGAGGCAGCAGUAGGGAAUCUUCCGCAAGGGGCGAAAGCCUGACGGAGCAACGCCGCGUGAGUGAUGAAGGUCUUCGGAUCGUAAAACCCUGUUAUUAGGGAAGAACAAAUGUGUAAGUAACUAUGCACGUCUUGACGGUACCGAAUCAGAAAGCCACGGCUAACUACGU
rnacentral:rRNA from 1 species